AUUAGCAGGAUGAGAACAGACUAAUACAUUACCCAAGAGCAAGAUUGUUUUUGGUGAUCAGAAGUCUUGUCUGAAAAGAAAAAACAUACAUCAAGUACUAAGGGGAAUGUGAUGCUAAUCUGGGAACCAUAUUUGCCCUAAGAAUGGAAGGACUGUGAACAACUGUCUGUGACGAAGUGCAGCGCCAAGGUGAAAAAAAUGCCAGGCAAGGGUAUAUUCAAUAUGAUUACUAUGAGCAUAAUUUCAAGUGACUUCUAUGAAGAAGAUUUCACAGUCACCUGAAGCAACAGCCUGCAGCUGUCAUUAUGGAAAGUCCCCAAAAGGAGCUUGGAAAAUCUUGGGAGGAUUUCUUAAAUCUUAUGAAAAAAGGGAAACAAAUAAAGUAAAAAGAAAUUUCUUCUCAAAAAGAAAUCUGAAAAUGUAGCAUUAGAAACCAAGGAGGGCUUAAUCUAUUGACAUUUUAAAGUCUUACCACCCAGAUUUCUCAUUCAUUGUUCAUUUUACAUUCUUAUGAGCUUCGUUUCAACAGUGCUUAAAAAUUGCUGCAUAUUCUUAAGCCACUAAAACAGAUGCAAAUUGAGAUGUGGGAUUUCUGGGCUUUAGAAGUAGUUGCAAACUGUGUUUUUAGAAAUGGAUCCCAUACUAACAAGGGAUAAACAUCAAUGCAUCAAGAGAAAAUGGUGUAGCUCACAAUUAGAAAAUAUGAGUUUACUUCAUUUUGUUUCCAUCAAAAUGAAUCCUGAAAACUUCACUGAGUGUAUGUCUCUCUUCUGUUCAAUGUAUCACUUAAAGGACAGACACAUUGAUGGAAAAUAAAUGGACCAAGACGGGCUUUGUGAAUCCCAGAUCUUACUGUUGGUAUGUUUAUGAACACUAGUAUGUGAAGGCUACAGUCUAGCAUUUAUUUUUGCCCUCUUUAGGAUACUGUGAGUCAAAAUAUUUUACAUAAAAUGUACUUUCUUGCUCCGGUUUUCUAUAUUGUUAUCUUUACAUUAUACUGUACUUUUGGUAUUAUAGCAACUCAGUGUUUGCACCAUUAAAUCUGACUAUAAAGUGCCUCUGA